CUGCCCCUGUCAGGGGGACAACCCGCCGAAAGGCGGGCUAAACCCGCGUACAUGCCACCGGGGCAUCCCGGAGGCAGGAAAGGCUUCGGCCGGACAGGGAUGGGCAUGCGGCGCAUUAGGCAGUAGGCGGGGUAACGGCCCACCUAACCGACGAUGCGUAGGGGUUCUGAGAGGAAGGUCCCCCACACUGGUACUGAGACACGGACCAGACUCCUACGGGAGGCAGCAGUGAGGAAUAUUGGUCAAUGGUCGGGAGACUGAACCAGCCAAGCCGCGUGAGGGAUGAAGGUACAGAGUAUCGUAAACCUCUUUUGUCAGGGAACAAAGGCGGGGACGUGUCCCCGGAUGAGUGUACCUGAAGAAAAAGCAUCGGCUAACUCCGUGCCAGCAGCCGCGGUAAUACGGAGGAUGCGAGCGUUAUCCGGAUUUAUUGGGUUUAAAGGGUGCGCAGGCGGUCUGUUAAGUCAACGGUCAAAGCCCGGGGCUCAACCCCGGCCCGCCGUUGAAACUGGCAGUCUCGAGUUGGAGAGAAGUAUGCGGAAUGCGCGGUGUAGCGGUGAAAUGCAUAGAUAUCGCGCAGAACUCCGAUUGCGAAGGCAGCAUGCCGGCUCCACACUGACGCUGAGGCACGAAAGCGUGGGUAUCGAACAGGAUUAGAUACCCUGGUAGUCCACGCAGUAAAC
rnacentral:rRNA from 1 species